UUUUAAAAUAAGUACAUUCACUUCUACAAGCUAUGUAGAUUAUUACUCUCAAGCUAUUAAAAGACCAAGCCAAAAUAAUUAUGGGCUACUCUCGACCACUUGUAGGAAUGGAUAGAGAGGUCUGGUCACAUGCCUGGAAAUUAGAGCUUGAGCUCUGAAAAUGAUAAUCCUGACUAUAUCUCAAAGCAUCAGUCUGCACUUUGUAUGGAGCAAGAAAAAGCCUUGUGGAAGCGGCCUCCCACCCAGCCGAGCCCUCGGCGUGGACAAGCUCUGCUUUUUAUGAGCAGUGGGUGCAGCCUCGCUGCUCCCUCCUCCUGUCAAAAGACAGUCACAGCUGGGGUGAGCAGAUCGGGCCCACUUGGGAGGCCCCAAGGAAUAUGCUGCAGGGGUCGGGCCUGAGCCACCCCCACGGGUUGGUCUUUGACAACUAGAGAGCAGCUGAGAGGUGGGUAAAAGCUCACUCACUUACCCUGACCUCAGUGUCCUCAUCUUAAAAUGGGUUUCCUGAAUCUUUCCCCGGCUUAGUGGCAAUGAAAUAAGAUAAUUUAUGUAAACGUUCUCCACAUAGUAAAGCACUAAGUAACAUAUGACUGUCAUCUGUUUUCCACUAGACAGAUCCCAACCUGGAAGAGUGACAGAUGGUAUUUCAGAUACAAGUGACUCAAGCAAAGCUUGAUAAACUGGGGGCUGGAAAAAAAUGCACAUUUACACAAAGCCUGGAGUAACUGCAGCACAGGCAGAGAAUAGCACAGGAAAGGCCAGAAGGUUUAUGAGAAAACUCAGGUGAAUUCAAGGAUGGCCUAACUGAAAGAACACCACAUAAUUCCAGACUCACGAACUCAGUCCAGCGAGGCUCAAGGGGAGUUAUAAAGUCCUCUGGAACUCGGUUCUGGGCUCUCAGACCUUGCAGGAGAGGACAGCAAAGGAAGGUUUUCAUCUGUACUGCCAAAACUGAGUGGUGGGCCAGCAGCCAGGUGGUCUUUGCAAGGUGCAAGGAGGCAUGAAUAUCAUGGAAGCCAUGGAGCGCUUUGGGUCCAGGAAGAGCAAGACCAGCAAGA
rnacentral:lncRNA from 1 species